rnacentral:rRNA from 1 species
UCUUGCGCAAUGGGCGAAAGCCUGACGCAGCAACGCCGCGUGAGUGAUGAAGGUCUUCGGAACGUAAAGCUCUUUCGGCUGGGAAGAACAGCCCGGGUGCGAACAGUGCCCGGGUUUGACGGUACCAGCAGAAGAAGCACCGGCUAACUCUGUGCCAGCAGCCGCGGUAAUACAGAGGGUGCAAGCGUUGUUCGGAAUUAUUGGGCGUAAAGCGCGUGUAGGCGGGAUGGCAAGUCAGGUGUGAAAGCCCUCGGCUCAACCGAGGAAGUGCGCCUGAAACUACCGUUCUUGAGUGCCGGAGAGGGUGGCGGAAUUCCCGGUGUAGAGGUGAAAUUCGUAGAUAUCGGGAGGAACACCAGUGGCGAAGGCGGCCACCUGGACGGACACUGACGCUGAGACGCGAAAGCGUGGGGAGCAAACAGG